rnacentral:rRNA from 1 species
AGAGGGUGCGAGCGUUGUUCGGAAUUACUGGGCGUAAAGCGCGCGCAGGCGGCCUUUUAAGUCUGCUGGUGAAAUGCCGGGGCUCAACCCCGUGCCCGCCACAGAUACUGGGAGGCUGGAGACAUGUAGAGGCAAGCGGAAUUCCGGGUGUAGCGGUGGAAUGCGUAGAGAUCCGGAAGAACACCGGAGGCGAAGGCGGCUUGCUGGGCAUGGUCUGACGCUGAGGCGCGAAAGCGUGGGGAGCGAACAGGAUUAGAUACCCUGGUAGUCCACGCCGUAAACGAUGGGCACUAGACGCUGGUGGGAUCGACCCCUUCGGUGUCGCAGCUAACGCGAUAAGUGCCCCGCCUGGGGAGUACGGCCGCAAGGCUG